rnacentral:rRNA from 1 species
UACGAAGGGUGCAAGCGUUACUCGGAAUUACUGGGCGUAAAGGGUGCGUAGGUGGCUUGGUAAGUUUGAUGUGAAAUCUCCGGGCUUAACCCGGAAAUGGCAUUGAAUACUAUUGAGCUGGAGGUUUGGAGGGGGGACUGGAAUUCUCGGUGUAGCAGUGAAAUGCGUAGAUAUCGAGAGGAACACCAGUGGCGAAGGCGAGUCCCUGGACAACACCUGACACUGAGGCACGAAAGCUAGGGGAGCAAACAGG